UGGGGAAUAUUGCGCAAUGGGGGGAACCCUGACGCAGCCAUGCCGCGUGAAUGAAGAAGGCCUUAGGGUUGUAAAGUUCUUUCGGUAUUGAGGAAGGUUGAUGUGUUAAUAGCACAUCAAAUUGACGUUAAAUACAGAAGAAGCACCGGCUAACUCCGUGCCAGCAGCCGCGGUAAUACGGAGGGUGCGAGCGUUAAUCGGAAUAACUGGGCGUAAAGGGCACGCAGGCGGUUAUUUAAGUGAGGUGUGAAAGCCCCGGGCUUAACCUGGGAAUUGCAUUUCAGACUGGGUAACUAGAGUACUUUAGGGAGGGGUAGAAUUCCACGUGUAGCGGUGAAAUGCGUAGAGAUGUGGAGGAAUACCGGAGGCGAAGGCAGCCCCUUGGGAAUGUACUGACGCUCAUGUGCGAAAGCGUGGGGAGCAAACAGGAUUAGAUACCCUGGUAGUCCACGCUGUAAACGCUGUCGGUUUGGGGGUUGGGGUUUAACUCUGGCGCCCGUAGCUAACGUGAUAAAUCGACCGCCUGGGGAGUACGGCCGCAAGGNUA
rnacentral:rRNA from 1 species